rnacentral:rRNA from 1 species
GACUGAGGGGGGCUGCUCCUAGUACGAGAGGACCGGAGUGGACGCAUCACUGGUGUUCGGGUUGUCAUGCCAAUGGCACUGCCCGGUAGCUAAAUGCGGAAAAGAUAAGUGCUGAAAGCAUCUAAGCACGAAACUUGCCCCGAGAUGAGUCUUCCCUGAGACUUUGAGUCUCCUGAAGGAACGUUAAAGACGAUGACGUUGAUAGGCCGGGUGUGUAAGCGCAGCGAUGCGUUGAGCUAACCGGUACUAAUGAACCGUGAGGCUUAACCUUACAACGCCGAAGCUGUU